rnacentral:rRNA from 1 species
UUGAUUCUGGGUCCGAACCAACGCUGGCGGCCUGGCUAAUACCUGGAAAUCCAACCAAAUUCUCGGAUUCUGUGGCCCCCGGGUGCCUUACCCCUGGGAAUCCGGCCUUGGGUUCCGAAUAACUUCCGGAAACCGAAACCUAUACCCGAAGAAGAACUUAGUUCCAAAAAUUUUCCCCCCAGGGAGAACCCCCCUUAGAAUAAGGUAUUUGGGGAGGUAAAGGCUCACCAGCCGAACAAUCCUUACCGGGCCGAAAAGGAGAUUCACCCCCCCGGGAACGGAAACCCGGCCCAAACUCCUACGGAAGGCACCAUUAGGGAAUAUUAAACAAGGGGCAAAAGCCGGUUCAACCAUGGCCCCGGGAUUGAUGAGGGCCUUAGGGUGGUAAAGCUCUUUUACCCGGAAUGAUAAGGACGUUACCGGGAGAAUAACCUCGGGCUACUUCGUUGCCGCCAGCCGCGUUAUUACGAAGGGACCUACCGUUGUUCGAAAUUACGGGGCGUAAAGCGCACGUAGGCGGCUAUUCAAGUCGAAGGUGAAAGCCCGGGGCUCAACCCCGGAACUGCCUUUGAAACUAGAUAGCUUGAAUCCAGAAGAGGUGAAGUGGAAUUCCAAUGUGUAGAGGUGAAUUCGUAGAUAUUCGGAANNACACCANNGNGCGAAGNNNGCUCACUGNACUGNUAUNNNACGCUGANNNNUGCGAAAGCNGUGGGGNAGCAANCAGGANUNAGAUACCCUGGUAGUCCACGCCGUAAACGAUGAUAACUAGCUGUCAGGGCACAUGGUGUUUUGGUGGCGCAGCUAACGCAUUAAGUUAUCCGCCUGGGGAGUACGGUCGCAAGAUUAAAACUCAAAGGAAUUGACGGGGGCCUGCACAAGCGGUGGAGCAUGUGGUUUAAUUCGAAGCAACGCGCAGAACCUUACCAACGUUUGACAUCCCUAUCGCGGAUCGUGGAGACACUUUCCUUCAGUUCGGCUGGAUAGGUGACAGGUGCUGCAUGGCUGUCGUCAGCUCGUGUCGUGAGAUGUUGGGUUAAGUCCCGCAACGAGCGCAACCCUCGCCUUUAGUUGCCAGCAUUUAGUUGGGUACUCUAAAGGAACCGCCGGUGAUAAGCCGGAGGAAGGUGGGGAUGACGUCAAGUCCUCAUGGCCCUUACGCGUUGGGCUACACACGUGCUACAAUGGCGACUACAGUGGGCAGCCACCUCGCGAGAGGGAGCUAAUCUCCAAAAGUCGUCUCAGUUCGGAUCGUUCUCUGCAACUCGAGAGCGUGAAGGCGGAAUCGCUAGUAAUCGCGGAUCAGCAUGCCGCGGUGAAUACGUUCCCAGGCCUUGUACACACCGCCCGUCACACCAUGGGAGUUGGAUUCACUCGAAGGCGUUGAGCUAACCGUAAGGAGG